AUGUGGGAUUCUCUGAGCCCAUUUCCUCGGCAUCGUCGGAAGAAUGUGAAUAGGGUAGCACCAGAUUACUACUAUUUGCACUUGGAGUAUAUUGUUUUGGUUGUUAGUAGCCUGCUUGUGCUGGAGCAGUUGAGCGGACAGUCACCGGUGUUCUCCAAGGGUGAGUACGCUGUCAGGUCGUUCAGUAUCAGGCGUAAUGAGAAGAUUGCGUGCUACAUGACUAUCAGGGUUGAGAAGGUGAUGCAGCUACUGAAGAGUGGCCUGAAGGUGAAGGAGUAUGAGCUACUCAGGAGGAACUUCAACGACACUGGAUGCUUUGGCUUUGGUAUCCAGAGCACAUCGAUCUCGGUGAGAAGUAAAUGUCUAUUGGUUGUUGUAUAUGGGCAAGAUGAAUUGAAUCCUGCUGUGUACUUGUCAAUUCUAGCUUAUACUGGUGUCUUGCGAUCCUAA
rnacentral:rRNA from 1 species